rnacentral:rRNA from 1 species
UAUUGCACAAUGGGGGAAACCCUGAUGCAGCAACGCCGCGUGAAGGAUGACGGUUUUCGGAGUGUAAACUUCUUUUCUUAGUGAUGAAGACAGUGACGGUAGCUAAGGAAUAAGCAUAGGCUAACUACGUGCCAGCAGCCGCGGUAAUACGUAGGAUGCAAGCGUUAUCCGGAUUUACUGGGUGUAAAGGGAGCGCAGGCGGGACUGCAAGUUGGAUGUGAAAUACCGUGGCUUAACCACGGAACUGCAUCCAAAACUGUAGUUCUUGAGUGAAGUAGAGGCAAGCGGAAUUCCGAGUGUAGCGGUGAAAUGCGUAGACAUUCGGAGGAACACCAGUGGCGAAGGCGGCUUGCUGGGCUUUAACCGACGCUGAGGCUCGAAAGUGUGGGGAGCAAACAGG